AUGGAUUUCGGUUGCUUCCAGCCCCACGCGGGGAGCUGCGAUGACACGCCGCUUGAUUUCCAUGUGCAGCAGAGUGCCCACUAUGAUCUCCACUCCCUUGAUCGUUCGUUCGAGCCUGUCGGCGGAUCAAUUGGCCCCUUUGCGGCCUUCUAUCCUGACUACUACCCACAAGUUGCGACGACCAAGGCUGUCAUCGGCGAUGCUUCAUCAAUCGUUCAUAGUUCUGGACCUCACCUGCCUCUGCUGACGCCAAAACUUGAGGUUUCACAACUCAUAGGAGGCGGCCUUGGAUCGUACAAGACCUAUGAGAUGAGCCGCCGGUUUUUCCCAAGAAAGAAGGCCUCCAGUAAGGCUCUCAAGAGGGCUAAUGUUGUCAAGGGGCAAUGGACACUGGAAGAAGACAGGAAAUUGGUGAAGUUAGUGGAGCAGUUUGGACUGAGGAAAUGGUCUCAGAUAGCGCAAAUGUUGCCUGGAAGAGUUGGAAAGCAAUGCAGAGAAAGAUGGCACAACCAUUUGAGACCUAACAUCAAGAAAGAUACUUGGAGUGAGGAGGAAGACAUGGUUCUAAUACAAACACACAAGGAGGUUGGCAACAAAUGGGCAGAGAUAGCUAAGCGCCUGCCUGGGAGAACUGAAAACUCCAUAAAAAAUCAUUGGAAUGCAACCAAGAGAAGGCAGUUUGCACGGAGGCGGACCCGCACAAGCGCCAAGAAUCCCAAAUCUGGGACCCUUCUGCAGAACUACAUCAAAAGCCUUGGAAUUGGCUCUAGCAAGGUCACUGCUGCUCCACUAGCCCCAAAAGAACGUCCACUGUCACCAUCUUCACCAGCAUCCCCAACACAAAAUCUGGCACAGGUGAGUGACAGUUGGUCAGAAUCCAACCCAUCCAACAUAAUGGUCAGCGAAGGACUAUUCAGCACAGAUGACAGACAGGCUGACUCUUGUGAAGAAAUUCUGGUCCCUACAUGCGAUGACUUUUCUAUUGACAUGUGUGAUGGUUUAUUUGACACAAAGGAGGAUGAGCAAUACCCGGUUUACAGCAUAGAUGAUGAUGUUGACAUGGACUAUAUCUUCAACCAUAUGGACUACACUAUUAAGAUUGACCAUGAGAUAGAUAUGGAGAUGGCAUGGUGUGAUGACGCACUCGCAAACAUUGAAUCUGGAUCAUCGCCAUUGGUGACAGUGGCAGGUCCAGCAGAAAUCAAGACUGUCCAGGUGAAGGAGGAGAUGAAUCUAGUUGAGCUGGUCACACGUACAGAGACUUGA
rnacentral:rRNA from 1 species